rnacentral:rRNA from 1 species
CAGUAGCCGCGGUAAUACGUAGGUCCCGAGCGUUGUCCGGAUUUAUUGGGCGUAAAGCGAGCGCAGGCGGUUAGAUAAGUCUGAAGUUAAAGGCCGUGGCUUAACCAUAGUACGCUUUGGAAACUGUUUAACUUGAGUGCAAGAGGGGAGAGUGGAAUACCAUGUGUAGCGGUGAAAUGCGUAGAUAUAUGGAGGAACACCGGUGGCGAAAGCGGCUCUCUGGCUUGUAACUGACGCUGAGGCUCGAAAGCGUGGGGAGCAAACAGGAUUAGAUACCCGCGUAGUCCCUGUCUCUUAUACA